rnacentral:rRNA from 1 species
GACGAACGCUGGCGGCGUGCCUAACACAUGCAAGUCGAACGGGACUGAUUGGAAAGCGGCUUCGGCCAAUGGAAGAUCAGUUUAGUGGCGAACGGGUGAGUAACACGUGAGGAACCCGCCUUUCAGUGGGGGACAACAGUUGGAAACGACUGCUAAUACCGCAUAAUGUACUAUAGGGGCAUCCCUUAAGUACCAAAGCUUUAUGUGCUGAAAGAUGGCCUCGCGUCUGAUUAGAUAGUUGGUGGGGUAACGGCCUACCAAGUCAACGAUCAGUAGCCGGUCUGAGAGGAUGAACGGCCACAUUGGGACUGAGAUACGGCCCAGACUCCUACGGGAGGCAGCAGUGGGGAAUAUUGGGCAAUGGGGGAAACCCGUGACCCAGCAACGCCGCGUGAAGGAAGAAGGCCUCGGGUUGUAAACUUCUUUUAGCAGGGACGAAGAACGUGACGGUACCUGGAGAAAAAGACAACGGCUAACUACGUG